rnacentral:rRNA from 1 species
GGGCCCGCACAAGCGGUGGAGCAUGUGGUUUAAUUCGAUGAUACGCGAGGAACCUUACCAGGGCUUAAAUGUAAGUUGCAUAGAUCAGAGAUGGUCUUUUCUUCGGACUACUUACAAGGUGCUGCAUGGUUGUCGUCAGCUCGUGCCGUGAGGUGUCAGGUUAAGUCCUAUAACGAGCGCAACCCCCUGUCGUUAGUUACCAGCAUUUUAGUUGGGCACUCUAGAGAGACCGCCGGUGAUAAACCGGAGAAGGUGUGGAUGACGUCAAGUCAUCAUGCCCCUUACAUCUGGGCUACACACGUACUACAAUGCUACGGACAAAGGGCAGCAAGUUCGCGAGGACAAGCAAAUCCCAUAAACGUGGCUC